rnacentral:rRNA from 1 species
ACUCGAGUGGCGAACGGGUGAGUAACACGUGGGUGAUCUGCCCUGCACUUCGGGAUAAGCCUGGGAAACUGGGUCUAAUACCGGAUAGGACGAUGGUUUGGAUGCCAUUGUGGAAAGUUUUUCGGUGUGGGAUGAGCUCGCGGCCUAUCAGCUUGUUGGUGGGGUAAUGGCCUACCGAGGCGGCGACGGGUAGCCGGCCUGAGAGGGUGGACGGCCACAUUGGGACUGAGAUACGGCCCAG